UGCCCAGCAACUCCUAUCCCUACCUCCUCGUGGUACUGGCCGGGGUACGAGUAACCUUAGGGAAGAUCGGGUGUACCAACCCCCGGUGGGAACUUUGGUCGUAUGCUGACAGGGAAGG
rnacentral:ribozyme from 1 species